UACGUAGGGUGCAAGCGUUAUCCGGAAUUAUUGGGCGUAAAGAGCUCGUAGGCGGUUUGUCGCGUCUGCUGUGAAAACCGGGGGCUCAACCUCCGGCCUGCAGUGGGUACGGGCAAACUAGAGUGCGGUAGGGGAGAUUGGAAUUCCUGGUGUAGCAGUGAAAUGCGUAGAGAUCAUGAGGAAGACCAGUGGCGAAGGCGGGUCUCUGGACAGUUCCUGACACUGAGGCACGAAGGCCAGGGGAGCAAACGGG
rnacentral:rRNA from 1 species